rnacentral:rRNA from 1 species
AUGAAAAAACAUGAGAGCCUGGAGCGUGACUCGAAGACUCGAGAGUCUGAGCUUGCAACGGCUCUUGAGAGUGCCAAAGCCACUAAGGCCGAAGCCUACAAGGCCCUCCAAGAGAUUGAGGCGGUGAAGAAAAUAGCAGCGGGUAAGGCAUUUUUCAUGCAAAGUAAGCAUGUGAGUGUUAAUUACCUGUUGCUUACCCGAUUUCGGAGCUCUCCAGGAGCGUUCGCAGAUCUUCCUUGCAGCGUGUCCGAUGCUGCCGCAUUCUACCGGGCCGAGGAGGGGAGCUUGACGGAGAAGGUCUUCUGGUCUCAGUAUGCUGAGGACGGACAUCCGGUGCCCCUUAGCGACCAGCUGAAGCAGCUGGUCGAGCUCCACAAGGCGGCCGAACAGGCUAUGAAGGGCCUCAUAGUUCGGCUGUGGCCUAAGGAGGCCAUGCCUGGGAGCUACUUUAGCCUAGUGCGGAGGCUGGUGGAUGCGUGCCCGUGGGUUGAAGUCAUCAAGCACUCCGCCUGUAUUGAGGGUGCCCGUCGGGCCCUUGCCCGCGCAAAGGUGCACUGGGGCAAGAUGGAUGCCCAGAAGCUUGUGACGGACCUGCCACCAGAGGGAAAGGAGCAUCGCAUGCCCGAGAUGUAUUAUAAGAGUGUGCUGAAGGGUGCCCGCACUAUUGCGGGGGAGUGCUCCAAAGAUGUAAUUUUUGAGUAG